UACGUAGGGUGCAAGCGUUGUCCGGAAUUAUUGGGCGUAAAGGGCGCGUAGGCGGCCUGUUAAGUCGAACGUGAAAUCCCCGGGCUCAACCCGGGAACUGCGUCCGAUACUGGCAGGCUUGAAUCCGGGAGAGGGAUGUGGAAUUCCAGGUGUAGCGGUGAAAUGCGUAGAUAUCUGGAGGAACACCGGUGGCGAAGGCGACAUCCUGGACCGGUAUUGACGCUGAGGCGCGAAAGCCAGGGGAGCAAACGGG
rnacentral:rRNA from 1 species